AAAUUUAUGAGCUACAUUAUUCCUAUUUCGAAAAGGAAAAAAAAAACGUUUAUAGACUAUUUUACAUCUAUUACUGAAUACAAAAUAAUACAAGCCACAGUAAAAAUCACACAAAAGGCUACUGCAUUUGAAAAGAACGGAAUCGUCAGGUGCUAAGCUAGUGAUGAAGCUAGCACUUGAUAAGCAAAGGCGAUCGCCUGUGUAGACUCUGCAGAAAAUUUUUAUUUUGGGCAAAUUGCUAGUCACCGGUGAGAGAUUUGUCAAAUAGCCUUUAGAAACAGGGGACAUGCUGGCGUGGCCAUUUUUGAGUCCCUUUUGAAAACUAGGCUCAAACAGCCUGUCUAGUUUAGCCCCUGUUUGAUUCUCAUUAAAUUACAUUCUAUUGUAUUCUAUUUUUCUCUCUCCUAUUUUCAACCACACAAUCUUUCAUAAAAUAAUAUUACACAUAAAUCAAAAAAAUUUCCUUCUUUUUCAACAACUCACUUUUUUAACAAAACACUAUUCUUCCCAUUUUCAUUACUAAAAAUUGGGGCCAAACAGGGGCUUAUCUAUUUCUCAAACAGGGCUCAAAACCAAUUAUCAUUUCUCUUCCCUCCCAUUUCUCUCUGUUUUCUUUCUACAUGACCAUUUCCAAAUCAUUUCAGCUUUCUCCCUUUCAACCCACCACUAACGGCCCCAGCCAACCGUGAACCGCCUUCAAGGUUCAGCUCACCGUCGUCAUCCGAGUCUCCAACGGUCCCUUCGCCUUGAUACCAUCGACGUCGAGCGAUUUCGAGCCUUCUCUUCUCUCUCUCUCUCUCUCUCUCUCGUUUUCUAGUCCAUUUUUAAGGUGAUAUUUUAUAUACUGAUUGGUGAUUUAGUAUUGUGAUUUGUGAAUAGCGA
rnacentral:lncRNA from 1 species